rnacentral:rRNA from 1 species
AUUGAACGCUGGCGGAAUGCUUUACACAUGCAAGUCGAGCGGCAGCGCGGGGGCAACCCUGGCGGCGAGCGGCGAACGGGUGAGUAACAUAUCGGAACGUACCCCGUCGUGGGGGAUAACACAGCGAAAGCUGUGCUAAUACCGCAUACGACCUGAGGGUGAAAGCGGGGGAUCGCAAGACCUCGCGCGAUGGGAGCGGCCGAUAUCGGAUUAGCUUGUUGGUGAGGUAAAGGCUCACCAAGGCGACGAUCCGUAGCUGGUCUGAGAGGACGACCAGCCACACUGGAACUGAGACACGGUCCAGACUCCUACGGGAGGCAGCAGUGGGGAAUUUUGGACAAUGGGGGGCAACCCUGAUCCAGCCAUUCCGCGUGAGUGAAGAAGGCCUUCGGUUGU